UCCGAGUUGACCCCGGCAGUCUCCCAUGAGUCCCCGCCCUUACGCGCUGGCAACAUGGAACGAGGGUUGCGCUCGUUGCGGGACUUAACCCAACAUCUCACGACACGAGCUGACGACAACCAUGCACCACCUGUGCACCUGCCCCGAAGGGCUGCCGUAUUUCUACGACAUUCAAGUGCAUGUCAAGCCCAGGUAAGGUUCUUCGCGUUGCGUCGAAUUAAACCACAUGCUCCACCGCUUGUGCGGGCCCCCGUCAAUUCCUUUGAGUUUCAGCCUUGCGGCCGUACUCCCCAGGCGGGGCACUUAAUGCGUUAGCUACGGCGCGGAAAACGUGGAAUGUCCCCCACACCUAGUGCCCAACGUUUACGGCAUGGACUAC
rnacentral:misc_RNA from 1 species